rnacentral:rRNA from 1 species
CCUACGGGCGGCAGCAGUGGGGGAUAUUGCACAAUGGGGGAAACCCUGAUGCAGCGACGCCGCGUGUGGGAAGACGGUCCUCUGGAUUGUAAACCACUGUCCCCAGGGACGAAGAUGACGGUACCUUGGGAGGAAGCUCCGGCAAACUACGUGCCAGCAGCCGCGGUAAUACGUAGGGAGCGAGCGUUGUCCGGAAUUACUGGGUGUAAAGGGAGCGUAGGCGGGACUGCAAGUUGGGUGUCAAAUCUACCGGCUCAACCGGUAGCCGCACUCAAAACUGCAGUUCUUGAGUGAAGUAGAGGCAGGCGGAAUUCCUAGUGUAGCGGUGAAAUGCGUAGAUAUUGGGAGGAACACCAGUGGCGAAGGCGGCCUGCUGGGCUUUUACUGACGCUGAGGCUCGAAAGUGUGGGGAGCAAACAGGAUUAGAUACCCUUGUAGUC